rnacentral:tRNA from 1 species
UCCCGGGGAGCUCAAUGGUGGAGCAAGAAGCUGUUAACUUCGAGGUUGCCGGUUCGAGCCCGGCCCCGGGAGCCA